GUGAGGAAUAUUGGUCAAUCUGCGAAAGCGGGAACCAGCAACACCGCGUGAAGGAUGAAGGCCUUCGGGUCGUAAACUUCUUUAGAGGGAGACGAGAAAGGACGGUAUCCCUAAAAUAAGCAACGGCAAACUACGUGCCAGCAGCCGCGGUAAUACGUAGGUUGCGAGCGUUAUCCGGAUUUACUGGGCGUAAAGCGCUUGUAGGCGGUUCCGUAAGUUGGACGUGAAAUCUCCGGGCUUAACUUGGAGAGGCCGUUCAAUACUGCGGGGCUUGAGGAUGUCAGAGGAAAGCGGAAUUCCUGGUGUAGUGGUGAAAUGCGUAGAUAUCAGGAGGAACACCGGUGGCGAAGGCGGCUUUCUAGGACAUUUCUGACGCUGAGAAGCGACAGCUAGGGGAGCGAACAGGAUUAGAAACCCGGGUAGUCC
rnacentral:rRNA from 1 species